ensembl:lncRNA
UGCUUAUUGCUGGAUAUAAUGGGCUUUUAAGUCAGCCUGGUACAUGAUGUAUACACUUAAAAACUGUGUGCUGCCACCUCGGAUGUGUUUUAUUUUGUGUUUUGGACGUGAUAUCUUUAGUGUAUUAUAACAGACAUAGUUCACUAUUUCUGUUCUCAACUCCACCAGACUUUGAUACGUAUUUAAGUUGCGUUUAUUGUAGACUAUAUGAUGCGUUCUUAUAUACACCAGACAGUUAAAUGCUGUUUCCCGUUCCUUGUGCACCUGACAGCUGUUUUUGAAGAAUGCUAAGUUGCUUGUUUUGCUGGGAUGUCUAAUUUGUCCACUGACAGUCUGGUUGGGAGGCAUCUCGGUGGAUCUCGGAGAACGGCUAAGAACAGAAUGAGAGCGAAAGAGAGAGAUAUGUAUAUAAAAGAUGCAGAGCAGAGCGAAUGGACAGAGACAAGCAGGGAAUGAGGAGAAAGAGGAGCAGAGGAAUGAGAUGGGGGGAGCUGAGUGUAGAGACAGCAGCGAUAAGGAAGUCAAGUUACCAAAACAGCGAUGGAGCAGCAAGAGGAGUGGAGGUGAGAAGAAAAGGCUGCAGUGAGAGUAUGUGGACGGAAAAACAGAACAGACAGGCAAGUGUUUUAUUGAAUCUGCGGUGUCCACAGAAUCGGGUAACUCACUUAGAGGGCGUCUCUAAAAGCAUUCGGAGUGUGGAGCCCUAUGGGCAGUGUCACUCUCAAUCUACAAAACAAAGGACCGGAGGGGCUGCUCUUUGA